AGGUGUCCCCACGGGGACUUAAUAGGGAAUCCGGUACAAGCCGGAGCGGUCCCGCCGCUGUAACAGGGAGCUUUCCGCAGGAACCAUUGGGCCGAGGCCUGAGAAGGGGCGGAAAGCAGUGAACUGGAGCCAGAAGAACUGCCUGUUUUC
rnacentral:ncRNA from 1 species